rnacentral:lncRNA from 1 species
AUGGAUUGGAUCUUGCGGACCGGCUUACGCAAGGAUUUACGGGUUUGAUUCAAUCUCAUAUUAGUCCUCCAUCGUUUUCUUGGCCUAAUCCUCAACCCCCAAAACUGUUUGAUGUUGAAUUCCCUAGUUAUAAUUUUGUGGACAAGGAUUUCCGGUUUGCAAGUGAUUAUCAAUCUGGGAUCAAUGGGGUUUUAGCUGUGUUUGAUAUUGGGAAUAAGUUAGGCCAAGCUGGGGCUGAUUUCGGGGCCUCAUUGAAUGGUGUGGUUCAGCAGAUUUUUCGGUUCUUAAUUGCCAUUUCCAUUUAAGCGGAAUGAUGAUGAUGUUGCUUUGGGUAAGUUGCGUGCGGAUGUCACUAGUCGGAGACAGGAUAUGGGUGUUAAGAUGCAAGUUCAGGAUGAUUUAGGGACCUUGGCUAAGCAAUUUCGAGAUCUGGGUUUGUUGAAAUUGAUGGAAAUUCAGAUGAGUCCAUUUACAUUACUUGGAUGCUCAGCAUAUCGGUUUUUUUUAAUGGUUGGUGUGUCCAUACUCGCAAACUUGGAUGGUUUCUUAAAAAAUAAGCCUAUAAUUAAAUGGAAUAUCCAAAAAAAACAUGCAUAGAAUUGAAUGAGACUAAAGAAUUAUGCAUUACGCUAAGUGAAGACGAUGUUGACACGUUCACUAUUUUCUUAAUGAAUAAGCUGCAAGAGGCAUAGUAAUUCCAUAUUUAGUUAACACACACUUUGGUGGAGAAUAACUAGCAAUAGCAUAGCUACUGCAGUAGUGCUUCCAGACCUUGUUCGCUUCCAACAAUUCAAUACUUGCCCUGCAGUUGAUUGGGGUCUGGAGUUCGGUUACGUGAAUUAACUUUCUUUUUUCCAAAGAAAACACAGAAGUCCACAUCUCUUAUUAAAAAGAAGCUAGCUCCAUCUCCUGGGUAUUAAAUUCUGUUAACAUGUUUGCCCGAAACAGACACCCCUAGACCUCCACUCUAAAUUGAAGUGGUAAGCUUGGCGUAUAACAUAUACGAAAACAUGUCAAUUUAUUCUUUUAAUCACAGCUUUUUUUGGACAGCUCGAUGCAUAAUUGAUUCACACUAGCUAGCUGGUUUCCCUUUGGUACUCAUCGACAAUGAAAUUUUAACUGCAUUCACAAACAUAAACAUUGUUUUCUUUUCUGAUCAGUUCAUUUGCAUUAUAUUGCAGGUAAGAAGGUGAAACAAUCUGAAUACAAGCGGUCUCAUUGCCAGUCUCGAACUAUGUUAUCUUGUUCUAAGAACAUAAUAGAAGCCUUCUGUAUAGUCUGUAGUCAUCUUCAUUAUAAAUGUUCUGUCUGGAGUAUGAAAUUAAUCCAUGUGUUCUCACCUCCUAUAUCUAUCGCCUUGUUCACUAUGUGUUCAGUAAGAUAUCUUCGACAUUAUAUUCUAUAUAGAGCUGCAAUGUUUCGGGUGGUUUUAAAACUUGUGGUUGAUAGCUUAGCAUCUAUUUCGUUCAAAGUUUCUGUUGACGAGAAUACAAUACACAAAAAUGCAGUUGCAUAGAGAUAUUUUAUCGUUGCUACAUAGUGAUUUUGAUUCGAUGGCCAAACUAAAUUUUGGCCAGAAAAGUUGACAGAAGGUGGACCAAUUCACUACUGACUUUGCGCCUUUACUGUGACGCCCCCGGCCCGGGAUGACCUCAGUAACCCGACCCGGGAAUGUCAUUCUACUAAACAAACCAAAAUAUAUUUCCAAAAUUUCAAACUUCUCAUUACAACAUAACUUAAAGUCAUAUUUAACCUUACAUCAUAAGUCUUACAUCAUACGCUUCUAAAAUUUCUGAAUACAAGCCUAACACAUAUUAAACGCUUCUUUCGAUUACAUCAUAAUACUUCUAUUAACUUCUGCUUGCAAAUUCAACCAAGUUACUCUAGGUCACCACAUUUUUACCCUUGCCUGAACAUCCUUCUCCCGAAUUCUUUCCUGUACAGUUAGUACAUAAAAAGGAAUGAGCUCAUAAAGCUCAAUAAGCAUAUAUCGUACAGUUCAACUGAGUUUUAUUCACAAAACUUUAAUAAUCAAAUCAAUAUUUCACACAUCAAGAUGAAUAUGAGUAUUCAAAUACGUUCACAAGUUCACACGUUCUACUGUUGGGGAUCCCGGCCAGCUAAACAAUUGGUUUAGCUUUCCUUCCCGAAGGAAGUAUCAUACUUUACUUCACAAAGGAAGCAUCACACACAGAACAAAUGUAAGAAUACUCAUUCCUCAUCAGAAAAUCAUCAACAAAAUGUUCACCAAAACAUCAUCAAAUAUCACAGUGAAGGGUACAGUAUAUACUUACAGUGUACAAUGUCCUAGUUAAAAUCUCCAACAACUUCGUUCCCUAAAAUAUUCACACAGUUACUUUAUUAUUAUUAAGUCAUGUUUAUAUUAAAUCUCCAAUUACUACUAAUCAAAUAAGUAGGGGUGAUCGCGGUGCGGGCGGUGCGGUUUUUUCCUAAAACCGCAAACCAAACCGCACAUGCGGUUUUACCAAAAUCUCAAACCGCAACCGCACCACGAAAUUUUAAAACCACAUAAACCACACCACGAAAAUGCGGUGCGGUGUGGUGCGGUUCACUGCGGUUUCCACAUGCGAUAAAACUAACUAAAUAUCUCUAAAUUUGAACAUAAAUUUCAAAUCUGGAACAUUAAUAAAACUUAACAGAGGAGUCUUAAACAGCACAGUAGCACACCGAUUAAAGUCUUAAACAGACAGACUGAGAUAGUUGAAGUGGAAAGUAAUUUCAAAUACAAAUAUUAUAAAAAAAAAUCAGCUUCAAUCUUCAAGCUCUGUAGAAAUCAGCUCCAGCCUCCAAAUACUUGAUGCAUUUAUAUGCUGAAAAGGACCUGUACAAAUAAGGAUAUAAGAUAGAAACAAAUAAUAAAAUUAGAUCAUUUUUUGGAUCAGAUUCAUCUUUCGUAAAAUGGUCCCAGACAUCACUUACUUUUUUCGAAGAUGGCGUUGCUUUCCGUUUUUGUGAUGCAGGCGUCUUCUCAGUGGUUUCAUCUUGUGUAGCUUGUGUUGCGUGUGAUGAAGAAGUCACCGGAGUAUUGACGGGCUCUAAGUUUUGCUCCAUCUCCGUCUGAAACAAGAAAUUAUCGAAUCAAAAUCCAACAAUCAAAAGAAUCCGAAGUAUGAGAGCAAAUAAUCUACCUUAAUUAGCUCAACAAGCUUGAUGUACGUGAGAUUGUGAAUCGUUGAAUCUGAAGUAGUUAUUGCAGAUAAGAUGUUAGCUAUUUGGGAUUUAGGGUUUUGUCAUUUGUGCGGCUAUCGGCUAGAAUAAAAGAGAUGAGUAUGAUUUUAAGUUUUACCUAAUAGAACUUUGGGCUUCUGCCUUCUGGGCUACCGCAUGCUGCUGGACUGCUAGACUAGGACUAAUAAUAGUUAAGUUUUAAUGGGCUGAGAGUAAUAUUAAUUAUAAUAUAUAUAUAAAUAUAUAUAAUUAUAAAUAUAAAUAUAAAUAUUAUUUUUAUUAUAUAUAUUAAUAUUGCGGUGCGGUGUGGUUUGAACCGCAUUCAAGAAAACUAAAACCGCAACCCGCACCGCACCGCGCGGUUUGUGAAAAAUCCAAACCGCAACCGCACCACGAAAAUUAAAAACCGCGUUUUGUGGUGCGGUUCGGUGCGGUGCGGGCGGUUUACGCGGUUUGGACGGUUUUCUGCUCACCCCUAAAUAAGAAUAAUGAAAUCAUAACUAAACUAUUAAAUUAAUAAAAUAAAAUAAAACUAUAAAAAUAAUAAGUCAGUAGACUUACUUAGAUUUGGCAGGCCGUGAGCUUCCUAUUUUUAUAAAGUAAGAAGGGAAUGUGUUUAUAUAAGGAAAGAUAUGACUUUCCUUACAUUUCCUCUCGAUGUGGUACCACAUGAAAUUGGUAUUAAGAAAAUUGGCACCUGGCGUCGGAGGGUGGCGCCAACAACUUUGAUUUUAUUACCUUAAUAGCUAGGCUACUGAUUAUAUUCAUGAGAAUACACUAUCAUGUUUUCGAUGUGGUACAAGGACAAGAAGAUAAAGAAACGUCCUCCAAAAUUAAUAAUGCAACCGAGUGCCAAAGGUCUCACUUACAGCUUAACUCAAAUUAAUUUUAUUUAAAAUAAGCUUAGUUCUUACUCUAUAUACACAUGUUUUGUUACUACUUUACUCGAUGUGGUACCAAAAGUUCAUAUAGAAAAAGAGAAAUUUUCUUUUGGCACAAACUAGAACCAUACCUUGGGACAAGAAUAACUUCAAGUCUUAGCACAUGCUCUUACUCACUUGAAAAUAAACAUCUAAAGCCUACUAUAAAUGCCUAUAUGUUGUUAGUUGAGAACUCGAUGUGGUUUUAUGUUUUCACAUCUUAGAAUGUGGCAACUUCCCACAUUGAAAAGAUUUAGGAGCUUGUGCUCCUCCAACUCUAUAUAACUCAUGUUAUAUGAUAGCACUCAUUGUCCCACAUUGAGUAAAUAUUGGAAUCACCAUGCUUCCAAUUCUAUAUAAACUCACCAUUGCCCACCUUUCUAUUCCAGAAAGUUUGCAGCUUUCUCUCGGGUUCCAUAUACCCUAUUUAUUCAGUUUUAAAGUUUUAGAAAUAAAGAGAAAUAAUUAAGUUUCUCAUAAUCAAGUGAAAAAAAUAUGUUUUGAAGGUUUGACAAAAACCUCACCAAGUCCCACAUUGAUAAAAUAUCAUAAAUGUGAAAUCUUUUACUCUAUAUCAAUGUUGUGAAGCCAACACUUACAACCCAAAACCCAACUAAGGCAACUUUCUUUACUUUGGACUACCUUUAGUCCCACAUCGAGGAGGCUAUAAGAUAUGCCAUCCCUUCCUCUAUAUAAACAGCGGCGGAUCCAGGGUCCGAGCCAAGUGGGGUCCAAUUUUUUUUAAACAUGAUAGGUAGCAAAAUUAAUAUCAUAGAAUAAGUCUGAUGUUAUAAUAUUUACAUAUGUGAGCCAAGUGGGGUCGUUGCGUUGCUCUUCAGUCUUGUCUUCAUCACUCUGCACCUGUGAGCACAAAUGACUUGCUAUUAUUUUGUGUUUACUUUUCUUGGCCCGGGCUUGAAUUUUUUGGCCCCAUAUCAUCUUUAUUGGCCCCAUUUUAUAUUACAGUUCUGAUUUUUUAUACAUAAAAAAGUAGGUUUUUUUUUUAUAAAAAUUCAAGUGGGGUCAGGGGCCCCCACCUGACCCCUGUGUAUCCGCCACUGCAUAUAAAUCAAGGUUAUGAAGCCAAUACUUGAAAAUAUACCAACUACAACUUGUUGCUUGGUUUUUGGACAUUACUAUUUGUCCCACAUCGAGGAGAUUAUAAAAACAUUUCCUCUCAAGUCUUUAUAAUGCUAGUAGACUUAGCUUAAAGAAAACUAACCCCCGUAUGUAAUUGAAUAAUUAUGGGAGCCUUGACCAAGGCAAAACAGAAUUUCACUAGAUUAAAUAUAUGAUAAUAAUACUUACUUACUAAAAUACAUAUAAAUAUAAAUUAUGUAUCAUCCAAAUAAAAUGAAUUCGGGAUAUUACAUUUACCACCGAAUUUUGUAAAGGCACUCGCUGUAAACUCUGUUGGCCAGUGAACUAGUGAAUCUUAUACUGAAAAAAAGGAAGCAUGCAAACUGAUCUGCUGGCCCUGUCUAUGAGAGUGAUGCAGGAAGAUUGAGAUGUGUUUAAUUACAUUACUUCAGUUUUUCUAUGUCCCUAUCAUGGCCAGAUAUGCAUAAAUGUUGAUAAAGUAAGCGAUGAGUUGUGCUCAUUGAAAGUUACCAACUAUAAGUGAAUGCAAUCUUUUCUCAAGCGGUCCAUUUGUCCGAAGGAUUUAUGAUUUUCCAAAAAAAAAACUGAUCAUCUGGCCAGUAAAAAAAGGAAUUCCAACAUUAAAUUCUGUUACCAUGUUUGGCUGAAACAACCUUUUCCUUUUAUAAACUAUUUUUACUUUCUUUUUGCAAAAGAAAACGCAAUCAAGUCCAUAUCUUAUUUCUCUUCAUUCCUCUCCUAGGUAUGCUAUACAUUAAAUCCUGUUGUCAUGUUUGGUUGAAAAGACCUAGACCUCUACUCUAAAAUAUUGAAGUGGUAAGCCUGGCGUAUAACAUAUAUGAAAACAUAUGGAAACAUGUCAAUUUAUUCUUUUAAUCACACCUUUACUUUGUUUUAAUAUUUAUUUAAUAUUUAAUGUAUAAAAUGAGUGUAGUGUGGGUAAAAUUAUGAGAUGAGCUAAUAUUUAAUAUAUAUAUAUCAUAAAAUUUUAUUAUUUUAGAAUAUUGUAUAUAAUUAAAUGGAAUAUCCAUAAAAAACAUGCAUAAAAUUGAAUGAGACUAAGAGCUCAUUUGAUAAAUCUGAACAAUUAAUAUAUGAAUGAAUAAUAUAUCUGACUAAUCUGAAUGAAUCAAAUAUCUGAAUUCUGAAUGAAUAAUAUUAUUUGAUACUCUUUAUGAGAAAUAUCUGAAUGGCAACUUAUUUUAAAUAAAUAUAUAAUCCAGUAAAAAAAAUUAAUCACAUUUAUUGACAAUAAAAUAUCAUACGUGUAUAAUAUUAUAUAUAUGAUCUUGUUAAAUAUUCCUAUAUCAAAAAUUAAUAAUGGCUUUGAUUUUUUACACAUAAUUUGAUGUGGAAAACAUAUAUUUUUACAGAUUAUUUUUAAAUUAUUCUUUUUUAAAUGAAAAUAUAAAUGUAAAUUUUACUAAGAAUAAAUUGAAAAAUAACAAUAAUAUAUAAAAAUCUUUUUUCUUCGACUCAAAUCAAGUAAAAGAAUCAAUAUAUUAUUUUUAAGAAGAUAAAUUAUGAUCUUCAUAGGAUGAUAUCCCGAAAAAAAAAAUGCAUAAUUGCAACUAGUUUUUAAAGUAUAUGAUGAUUGAUUUCAAGUUACGUUUAUGACUGGCUCAGUUUGGAUUCUGGAAAUGAGUGGCUCAGUAGAUUUAGUGAUUCACUCAGCUGUGUUUAUUGCAUGCCAAACAAACUGAACGAGAUGAUUCGGUCAUAUAAUUCUUAUUCAGCUCCGUUUAGAAGUAAUCAAAUGGCCCCUAAAGACUUAUGCAUGACGCUAAGUAAUUCCAUAUAUAUAGUUAACACACUUUGCUGGAGAAUAGUUACUGCAGUAGUGCUUCCAACAAUUCAAUACUUGCCCUGUAGGCAUUGGCGGAUUCAGCUCCGAAAGUAAGGGAGGUCGUAUACAAACUUUUGUAACGAUGAUUAAUCAGAAUAAAUACAGGAAAAAAUUUAAUAUUCAAAUUAUGUUACCGUUGCACAACAUAAAUAAGUCAUAUCCACCUUGAUUAGAAUGGUGGAUAUCAAAAUGAUUAAAUAGAUAACAAAAAUUUAAUAUUCAGAUUAUGUAAUUUUUUGCUAUUGCACGACAUUAUGUAAUUAUAUAAAAUUAAUGACAAAAUUUUAAGGGGGUUCAACUGACCCCUUUUGCCCCUAUCAGGAUCCGCGUCUGCCUGCAGGUAUAUUUUUUGAUUGGGGUGUGGUGUUCGGUUACGUGAAUAACUUUCUUUUUUCAAAAGAAAACACACAAGUCCACAUCUGCGCCAUUUCCUUUAAUUCCUAGCUAGCUCCAUCUUCUGGGUAUUAAAUUCUGUUAUCAUAUUUGGCUGAAACAGAAAGCCCUAGACCUCCACUCUAAAAUGAAGUGGUAAGCCUGAUACGGAAACAUGUUUUAAUCACAGCUUUUUUUGGACAACUCGAUGCAUAAUUGAUUCACAGUAGCUAGCUAGUUUCCCUUUGGUACGUGUAAGCAAUUUUGUGUAUAAAUACUGGCAUGCUCGGGUGUUGGAUUCAUUGCCAGUUGUGUUUGCUCAUCAACAAGUACUUGAACAACUCUACUCUUCUUUCGCCAACUCUUUGUUCUCCAACUCUUUGUUCAUCAUCAGGUUUGAAUGAAUCCGCGAUAUUUUUAUUUUAGUGUCCAUAUCAUCCUGCAUGCCUUGAGAUUAUUAUUUUACGCUAUAUGGAAAAAUGGAAAAAUCAGUUAACUUUCAUAGUUUUAAUGAAUUUAAUACUUAUCUUCUCUUGUAUUAAAAAUUCUUUUAUUUUUUCAUGAAAUAUAUAGUCCUAAGUAUAUUUGUUAUUGUGACUUGGUUUUGACAGAUCUUGCCCAGAGUAAAGAAGAGGAGAAGUACAAUGUAUAAACUGAUGAAAUGCCGCUUGCGGACUGCGACAAAGAAGAACAGGAUGCCCAUUUUUGUUCAUUAACGUGCAUAGAUAAAUAUAAUGAUGGACGAUUACUAGAAGCAAUUUGUGAGCGUAACCAAAUCUGUGUAAGUAAAUAUGCAUGCUAAAGAUAUUAUAUGAAGAAAUAAAUAAUAUUUAAUUAUAAUUAAGAAGAAGAUAUGAAUCUUAUGGUGGUUUUAAAUUUUAAUAUUUGGAUAAAAAUGCAUCUUUUUAUAUUUUUAUAUUUUUUGAAAGUUAUUAUAAUUCCUACCAUCCUAUCAAAGUUAUUAACAGUUGGAUAUGAGUUUUAUCAAACGCAUCAAAUUCAAAUUCGUGUUGCUCUUUUAACUUCGUUACUUUUUAAGUACAAAGAAGUGUUGAACAUAAAAAUACGAUUAUACGAAAGGGUGACAUGAAUAUAUUAUAUUAAUAUGAUGUUGAGGGUGAUUAGACUGGGCUGGCACAACCCGAACCCAAUCCGCACAACCUGCGGGUAACCCGAACCCGACUCGAAAGAUAAUAUUUAUUAAUAAAUAUAUUGUUUAAAUAAAAAAUAAAUAAUAUUAUAGUUCAAAUAAAUUAAUUUAUAUUAAAUUAAAUAUUUUUUAUUAAAUUUAAGUAAUAAAUAUUAUAAAAAUAAUAUAAAUAUAUGUAUUUUAUAUAAAUAUAUAUAAUAUUUAUAUUAUAAAUUAAUUUUUGGGUAAUUUUGGGUAACCCGAAACUGAUACUCCCUCCGUCCCGGUGAGUAGUAUACAUAUGGGAAGUGGCACGGAGGUUAAGAAAAAGUGUAAUUUAGUGAUGAAAAGUAAAAAAAGUGGGUGAAGUGGUGGGACCGGUUAAUAUUUAAUGUGUAAAAUGAGUGUAGUGGGAGUAAAGUGGUGGGAUCUACUACUCCCUCCGUCCCCUUUUACUUGUCUCUUUUGAAAAAAUAACGCAUCUUAAGAAAAUGUUAGUUGGAUAUCUUGUUUUCAUACAUAUCUCUAAUAAAUGUAAUGAAUUAGAUAGAGUUGUGUAUAUAUAUAUAUAUGCUAGUCAAACAUUGGAAGUUGUUACUUUUUGAAAAAACAUACAAAAAGUUGAUUUGAAAAGAGAAGUGGACAAGUAAUUUGGGACAAUUUUUUUUUCAAAGUGGACAUGUAAAAGGGGACGGAGGGAGUAAUAUUUAAGGUAUAAAGUAGGUGUAGUGGAAGAAAGUAGUGGGUGUAGUUAAGUUUUUAUAAUAUAAAAACUUAUUAUUUUUGGUAUGUAUACAAUUGAUGGGACGUCCCAAAAAGGAAAAUGUAUACAAUUCAAUGGGACAGAGGGAGUAUGUUUUUCCGAGUUGAUUUUGUGUCGACCCAAAUUCGACCCGAACCCAAAAAACUCUAACACAAAUUCGUAUUUUACGGGUCGAAUUCGUGUCGGGUUGUUGAGUCGGGUCCAAUAUUACCACCUUAUGACUAAGAGCAAGUCUAACAGUGUCCUAGUUGGAGUGCUAAAUAUAAUCUAAAAAAUUAUGUCCUAGUAGUUUAGGACAUAUUCUACUAACUUCAACUCCAACAAUGUAUCUUAUUUUCACUAUAUGUUUAAUAUUUUAUUAUUAAAAGUUCACUUUCAUCAUUAAAACAUAAUAUAAAAUAGAGAGAGAAAAAAAGUGUUGGCAAAAAUUUAUUAUAUAAUAUGGGAUAGGGUAAGGUAGGGGUGGCAAUAUUGGGCCCGACCCGACAACCCGACACGAAUUCGACCCGCAAAAUACGAAUUCGGGUUGGGGGUUUUCGGGUUCGGGUCGAAUUCGGGUUGACCCAAAAUCAAUCCAGAAAAAUCGGGUCAUUUUCGGGUUGAAUUCGGGUUACCCGAAAUUGACCGAAAAUUAAUAUAUAAUAUAAAUAUUAUAUAUAUUUAUAUUAUUUUUAUUAUUUUUAUAAAAUUUAUUAGUUAAAUUUAAUAUAAAUUUAUUUAAUUUAAUAAAAAUUAAUUUAUUUGGAUUAAAAUAAUAUUUAUUUAUUAUUUAAAAAAUAUUUUUAUUAAUAAAUAUUAAUUUUCGGGUCGGGUUCGGGUUACCCGCGGGUAGUGCGGGUCGGGUUCGGGUUGGGUAUUCUGACCCAUUAAAUUUUCGGAUCGGGUUCGGGUUGGGUAAAUUUUUUGACCCGCGACUGUCAACCCGACCCGAACCCGACCCGAAACCCGAAAUUGCCAGCCCUAGGGUAAGGAGAGAGAGUGCCUCAAAAAUAGGGCUUGAAUGGGUUGUCCUAGUGAUAUAGGGCAUCACUAGGACAUUGUUGGAUGGAGAUUUUUCAUCAAAUUCCCUAUAUUUUGACUUAAGACACUAAAUAGGGCACCUGUUAGAUUUGCUCUAAGUACAUAAGUAGGUCCGACUAGGCCUGUCAAUGGAUCGGGUUUGGAUCGGAUCGACCUAAAUCCAUAUCCAUAUCCAUUUAAUUUAGCGGAUUCGGAUUCGGAUCGGAUCGGGACCGGAUUUUUUUUAAGCCGAUCCAUAUCCAUAUCCAUUCGGAUCACGGAUCUCGGAUCGGAUAUCCGAUCCAUUUACUUACUACUUAUAUAUAUUUUUUAUAAGACUUUAAAAUUACCUAAAAUACAAAUAAAACCAAUAAAUAACAAUGUUAAAAUUUAAAUUACAAAGUCAAACAUUACAUCUCAAGUCUCAAAACAAAUCACAAACUAAAUUGUUUAUAAAUAAAAUUUAAAAGGAUCUGUGAGUUUUCAAACCAGUUUUAUAUUCCAAGACCCAGGUCACCAAACAUACCAAACAUACUAGAUAACUAGCAGAGACUGGGCCUGUGAAUUUGUAGUUGGUUUUAUAUUCAAAUAAUCAGUUUGUAAUGUAUGUUGUAAUUUGUAAAUACUUAUCGAGAAUAAAAUAUAUUAUUAUAUAAUAUAUAAUAUAUAAUAUAAACAAACAUUACAUCUCAAGUCUCAAAACAAAUCACAAACUAAAUUGUUUAUAAAUAAAAUUUAAAAGGAUCUGUGAGUUUUCAAACCAGUUUUAUAUUCCAAGACCCAGGUCACCAAACAUACCAAACAUACUAGAUAACUAGCAGAGACUGGGCCUGUGAAUUUGUAGUUGGUUUUAUAUUCAAAUAAUCAGUUUGUAAUGUAUGUUGUAAUUUGUAAAUACUUAUCGAGAAUAAAAUAUAUUAUUAUAUAAUAUAUAAUAUAAUAUAAUAUAUAUAUAUAUAUUAAAUAUAUAUUAACCGGAUCGGGUUAUAAACGGAUCGGAUCACACUAAAUCCAUAUCCGGUCCAUUUAUUAUCGGAUUUUUUUAAUCGGAUCGAAUUUCGGAUCGGAUUUUUUUUUACCAAAUCCAUAUCCGCUAAAAUGACCUCGGAUCGGAUCGGGUCGGAUCGGAUUUUCGCUCCAUUGACAGGCCUAGGUCCGACCAGGUAAAGCUAUGGUCGUAUAUCAAAUUAUCAACUAGUACAUAAGUAGGUCCCAUUAGGUAAGGGUAUGGUCGUAUGGAUAUGAGAUUAUCAACCUGAUGGGCUGGGCUGGGUAGUUGGAUAAACCCAUAAUACCCAAGCAAGAGAUGGCCUACCCAUUUCAUAGUCACCUUCUUUGAUUUAACAAAUAUCUUCUCAACCAUACCUACUGACCAUAAAAAAAAUUCAAAAAAAUAAAUAAAAAUCCUUAGCUCUUCCCCCAAAUCCAAUUUCUAACCCUAAUUCCCAAAUUUUAUUCCCCCAAAUCUUGAUUUCAUAUCCUCAGUUCUUGAAUUACAUACUUCACUACCACACACCCCUCUAAUAAUCACAACCCAAAUUCUCAAAUCUUGUUUUCAGCCCUCCAUUUGUAGCUAAUUACACCCACCCACAAACAUAUAGAUACAAGUAGUUCAAGAAUUGUGUGAUUAUGAUAAAGGUGGAAGCUAUGAGGCUGGGAUUUAAUUACUGAGGCAUUAUAUUGGUAUAAACUGUUCAAGAAUUGUGUGAUUUUGAUAUAGGCGGGAGCUUUGAGCUGGGACUUUAGUGUUAAGGCGUUGUGUUGAUAAUUUAGAUUGGUUUAGUUGAUUAUAUGGUGUUUUCUUUAAGUGAAUAGAGCUGAAAUUUGCUUCAAGAAAAUGUCAGCAGAGAGAUCAUUUGAGGCCUGGGAGGAAGUUCAACGCCAUGGAUUGGAUCUUGCGGACCGGCUUACGCAAGGAUUUACGGGUUUGAUUCAAUCUCAUAUUAGUCCUCCAUCGUUUUCUUGGCCUAAUCCUCAACCCCCAAAACUGUUUGAUGUUGAAUUCCCUAGUUAUAAUUUUGUGGACAAGGAUUUCCGGUUUGCAAGUGAUUAUCAAUCUGGGAUCAAUGGGGUUUUAGCUGUGUUUGAUAUUGGGAAUAAGUUAGGCCAAGCUGGGGCUGAUUUCGGGGCCUCAUUGAAUGGUGUGGUUCAGCAGAUUUUUCGGUUCUUGCCAUUUCCAUUCAAGCGGAAUGAUGAUGAUGUUGCUUUGGGUAAGUUGCGUGCGGAUGUCACUAGUCGGAGACAGGAUAUGGGUGUUAAGAUGCAAGUUCAGGAUGAUUUAGGGACCUUGGCUAAGCAAUUUCGAGAUCUUGGGUUUGUUGAAAUUGAUGGAAAUUCUGAUGAGUCUGUGGAUGAGAAUGGGGAUAGAUAUGUUAUAAAGUCUAGAAGAUUUGGAAUUCC